CGUGGUUGCCCAGACUUGACUUUAUUUUAAGUUUUAAUCUUCUGUUUAACUGUACCAGAUGAAUUGCAAAUAUAGUCUGGAACAUUACCUUUAUUUACAUAAAUGCCUCCAGAUCCAUCAUGGACAUUGAGGAAUAAAAAAAAACAUAUGGAUCCAAACAUCAUUGAAAUAAGUCAUCUGCUUCUUUCAUUUUUUACUGCUUAGACACUUGAAAUCGUAACAAUCCCCAAAUGUUUAAACCAUGUGAAUUUCAGAGGCUAGAAUCAGGAACCCAAAAGUAAAAUUUUAGUCAUUGCCUAGAUUCUUUUAAGGAAAAUUAGGGAUUUACUUUUGCAUAAAAGGUUUAAAUUUUACUUCAAAAAACUUAACAAAGAUCUCCCAUUUUGCCCCUCCUUAAAGGAACUACUAGCUAUAUGUUUUAUUAGGAUUAAUUAGUGUUCAAAAGAUAGUUUUAGUCAUUUUAGCUUAUAUGUAAAUUCAGAUAUUCAGCUGGGAAUCUUAACAAUGCAACAUUCUAACAUGCAGCAUUUUUUAAAGGCUAUUGUGAUGAUGUUCACAAGACAUCACGUCUUUUGGAUCAGCCUCAAGAGAGAACCAGAUCAGCCCUGGAAGUGGCUAGAAGAAGAAAACUCAACGUUGGAAAUCAUGGGAAAUGCAGGAGACUGCAUUUUUGAACGAUGAUGCCACAACCGGCUCAGGGAGAUGCAACACUGAACACCGCUACAUCUGCAAAAAAAAUUGAUCCAAGGAUAUAAUAUGCCUUAUGGAAGCUGAAAAAAUUACCUCAGGCUGCCAGAUUACUUACAGACUUGAUUGUUUUACUGUGAGACGCACUUUUGGGGCACUGUUUUCCUGAACAAGCUGCUUAAUAAAGUUGCAUCUUUUCAGUCUUUGAAUCGGUGUUUCUUUUCCCUUCUGCUGUGGC